UACGUAGGGUGCAAGCGUUGUCCGGAAUUAUUGGGCGUAAAGAGCUCGUAGGCGGUCUGUCGCGUCGGAUGUGAAAAUCCAGGGCUUAACCCUGGACCUGCAUUCGAUACGGGCAGACUAGAGUUCGGUAGGGGAGACUGGAAUUCCUGGUGUAGCGGUGAAAUGCUUAGAUAUGUAAUAGAACACCGAUUGCGAAGGCAGUUCACUAUGCUUGUAUUGACACUGAGGCACGAAAGCGUGGGGAUCAAACAGG
rnacentral:rRNA from 1 species